rnacentral:rRNA from 1 species
AUGAACGCUGGCGGCGUGCCUAAUACAUGCAAGUCGAGCGAACAGAUGGGGAGCUUGCUCCUCUGACGUUAGCGGCGGACGGGUGAGUAACACGUGGAUAACCUACCUAUAAGACUGGGAUAACUUCGGGAAACCGGAGCUAAUACCGGAUAAUAUAUUGAACCGCAUGGUUCAAUAGUGAAAGACGGUUUUGCUGUCACUUAUAGAUGGAUCCGCGCCGCAUUAGCUAGUUGGUAAGGUAACGGCUUACCAAGGCAACGAUGCGUAGCCGACCUGAGAGGGUGAUCGGCCACACUGGAACUGAGACACGGUCCAGACUCCUACGGGAGGCAGCAGUAGGGAAUCUUCCGCAAUGGGCGAAAGCUUGACGGAGCAACGCCGCGUGAGUGAUGAAGGUCUUCGGAUCGUAAAACUCUGUUAUUAGGGAAGAACAAAUGUGUAAGUAACUAUGCACGUCUUGACGGUACCUAAUCAGAAAGCCACGGCUAACUACGUG